rnacentral:rRNA from 1 species
UUUCUNANUGGGGGAACCCUGAAGGAGCGACGCCGCGUGGAGGAUGAAGGUCUUCGGAUUGUAAACUCCUGUCAUUAGGGAACAAGUGCCGGUAAUUUACUACUACCGGCUUGAUAGUACCUGAAGAGGAAGAGACGGCUAACUCUGUGCCAGCAGCCGCGGUAAUACAGAGGUCUCAAGCGUUGUUCGGAUUCAUUGGGCGUAAAGGGUGCGUAGGUGGCGCCGUAAGUCAGGUGUGAAAUCUCGGGGCUCAACCCCGAAACUGCACUUGAUACUGCGGUGCUCGAGUACUGGAGAGGAGAUUGGAAUUUACGGUGUAGCAGUGAAAUGCGUAGAUAUCGUAAGGAAGACCAGUGGCGAAGGCGAAUCUCUGGACAGUUACUGACACUGAGGCACGAAGGCCAGGGGAGCAAACGGGAUUAGAUACCCCGGUAGUCCUGGCAGUAAACGGUGCGCGUUUGGUGUGGGAGGAUUCGACCCCUUCUGUGCCGGAGCUAACGCGUUAAACGCGCCGCCUGGGGAGUACGGUCGCAAGAUUAAAACUCAAAAAAAUUGACGGA